GCUUCGUUUGGGGGUGGGGCCUGUGCCGGGGAGCCAAUCAGUGCUCCCUCCGGCCACAGACAGCCCCCAGCACCUCAGCACUGCAUUCCCUCGGGCUGUGACAGGCUGUUACAGUUUGAGGGAAGCCCAUGGCCAGCAAGUUGCCGGCAUUUGGGGGGGCCCAAGGGGGGGCACAGCAUGAUGUAGGGGGGGCCAUGGCCCCCUCUGGCCACCCCCUAGCGACGUCACUG